GUAAGAGAAUAUAUUCCUUCCAAUGAUCAACAUGUACAAUGGUGUUACAUAUAUAUAGCAGAGGUGGAGGAGAGCCGGUCCAGAUCCUACAUACAAGGACGGCUUAGACUAAGUGCUAUGACUAGGUAAAGGGUAACGUUAACACCCCCCUCAGCCGGGACGCCAUAUGGAUGGACGUUCAGGCUGGAACGGAAGUCGGUGAACUCGAUGUAGGCAGUCCUUUAGUGAAUAGAUCCGCAAAUUGCGAGCUGGAAGGAACAUGAAGAACCCGAGUGUCACCGAGGGCCACCUUGUCCCGUACAAAAUGAAGAUCAAUCUCGAUGUGUUUCGUCCUUUGGUGCUGCAUGGGAUUGCUGGCAAGGUAUGAUGCACUGACGUUGUCACAAUAGACAAUGGUGGCGCGAGUAGGGGGGCGAAGUAGCUCGUGGAGGAGCUGGCGAAUCCAGCAAGUCUCGGCGACGCAGUUUGCUAUACCUCGAUAUUCUGCCUCUGCGCUAGAACGACUGACCGUGACCUGCCGUUUCGAGGACCAGGAGACGAGGUUGGUGCCGAGGAACACGCAAAAGCCCGACGUAGAUCGGCGUGUGUCCGGACAGCCUGCCCAAUCGGCGUCGGUGUAGGCGAGGAGAUGUUGUGAGGAGGCUUUCUAGAGUUGGAUGCCGAAGUGAGACGUACCCUUGAUGUAGCGGAGAAUCCGCUUGACAAGUUGCAUGUGUGUGUCGCGAGGUUGAUGCAUGAACAGGCAAACUUGUUGGACAGCAUAGGAUAUGUCUGGGCGGGUGAGUGUGAGAUAUUGCAGCGCGCCGGCCAGACUGCGGUAGUGCGUGGGGUUGACGAGAGGGCGACCAGCGCUAGCAGAAAGUUUGGAGGAGGUGUCGACUGGUGUGGGAACUGGCUUACAGUUGAGCAUGUCGGCGUGAUCCAAAAUUUCAAGGGCAUACUGUUGUUGGCACAAGAACAAGCCGGAGGUGUUGGGAGUGACGUUAAUGCCGAGAAAGUGGUGGAGUUCCCCGAGAUCUGUCAUGGAGAAUUCUUGUUUGAGGGAGUGGAUGAUGUGGUGGAGGGUAUGUUGGGAGCUGGCAGUGAGGAUGAUAUCGUCGACAUAUACCAGGAGAUAUGCGAUGGAGGAGCCACGGCGCAUAAUGAAGAGGGAGGUGUCGCUUUUGGACGCUGUGAAACCCAUGGAAACAAGGAACGAGCGGAAGCGGUGGAACCAGGUGCGUGGAGCUUGUUUGAGACCGUAGAGGGAUUUGCGAAGAAGACAAACAUGGUUGGGAGAGGAGCUGUCGAUGAACCCGGAAGGCUGAGCGCAGUAGACAGUCUCCUUUAAAUCACCAUGGAGGAAGGCGUUCUUGACGUCGAGUUGAUGGAUGGGCCAGCUGUUGGAGGUGGCAAUACUCAAGACGACGCAUAUGGUAGCAGGCUUCACCACGGGGCUGAAGGUCUCGGUGUAGUCGACGCCUUCCUGCUGUGUGAAGCCACGAACGACCCAUCAGGCCUUGUACCGUGCCAGGGAGCCAUCCAGAUGAAAUUUAUGGCGAAAAAUCCAUUUGCCCGACACCACGUUGACACCUGCAGGUUUGGGAACCAAAGACCAAGUCGAGUUCUGGAUUAAAGCAGUAAAUUCAUCUUGCAUGGCACGACGCCAAUGGGGGUCCUUGAGAGCAGAGCGAUAUGUAGGAGGGAUGGGAGAGAUGGCGUCGGGGGACGUGGUUGUGACGAAGAGGCGCUUGGGCUGGCAAGAACCAGCUUUGGAGCGGGUGCGCAUGUGAUGAGUGUUUAGCGGAGGUGCUGUUGGUAUUGCAUGCGGAGGGAGAGGCGGUGGGGUGCUGUGUGCUGGCGCGGAAACUGAGGAGGAUUUGGUGGAGGGAAUGGCCGCAACAGGCGAGACAGGCUCGGGAUCCGAGGAGGAUAGCGUGGCAGGCGCGGCAGAAGCGGGCGUGGGCGCGGCAGGUGGGGACGCGUUGGGAUCGGUGGGAGCAGGGGAACGGGGCGUGACGGGCGAGGAAGAUUCGGUCGGGUGGGUGACGGACGAGGCGCUGGUAGUGGGGGUAGGUGGCGCAGGGAAUGUGGAGGGUGAGGGGGUGAUGAUGGGUGCGACAGACUCGGUCGGCCGGGUGCAGUACGAGGUAGGUGCGGCAGGUGGGACUGGUGGGGGUGGCAGGUAGCGAAUCGGGCGGGAAGGAUCAGGUGUGGGAGGUAUGGGUGUGGGCGAGUUUGUGGCCGUAGCGUAGGGGAAGGAUGCUUCGUCAAAAACGACGUGGCGGGAGACUAUGACACGCCGCGAGGAGAGAUCGUAGCAUAUGUAACCCUUGUGCUCGAGGGGAUAUCCGAGGAAAACGCAGCGAGUAGAGCGAGGACAAAGUUUGUGAUCGGAUGUGGCGUAGAGGUUGGGAAAACAAAGGCAACCAAAGACCCGAAGGUGAUCAUAUGUGGGUUGGAUGCCAUGGAGACGAAGGAAAGGUGUGUGGCCGUCGAUGGCGCGGGAUGGUCGUCUGUUUAGGAGGUAGGUAGCGGUGUGAAGAGCCUCGACCCAAAAUGGAGGAGGGAGAUGAGCUUGGGCGAGAAGAGUGCGAACGGUGUCAUUGGUGGUGCGAAGGAGCCGUUCGGCUUUGCCGUUUUGCGGGGAGGUGUGAGGGCAAGAGAACCGAAAGGCAAUGUCGUUGAGGGAGAAGAAGGAGCGUAGGUGUGUGUUGAUGAAUUCCCCACCGUUGUCACACUGUAGGCCUUUGAUGAUUACGUUGUAUUGGGUUCGGACGAACGAGAAAAAGCGUUCGAGUGUGAGGGAAGUGUCGGACUUGUGUCGAAGAGGGAAUGACCAAGAGAAAUGCGAAUAAUCAUCCAAUACAACCAGAUAGUAUUUGUAACCCGAAAAGCUUACAACAGGAGACGUCCACAAAUCACAGUGUAUGAGGUCGAACGGUGCAUAGGUACGGCUGGUGGAGGAGGGGAAGGAGAGACGAGGUUGCCGACCUAGUCGGCAAGCAGUACAGGGAGAGGCGGGAGGUUUAUUACAAGGGGAAAGAAAAUCACUAGUAAUAGUAGAAAACGACUGCGCUCCAGGGUGGCCGAGGCGGCGGUGCCACAGGUCGGCGGUGGAGGUGGUGGCGGAGAGUGCAGCUGGCCACGUGGAGUUAUGCCCAAAGAAUGGGUAGAGAUCGCCGGAGCUAGCGGAGAUCAUGAGAACCUUCCUGGUGCGUAGAUCCUUCAAAAGAAAGCCAAACGGGUAAAAUUCAAUUGAGCAAGAGUUAUCACAUGUAAACUGGCGAACGGAGAUGAGGCUGGUGACGACGUGCGGAGAGAACAGAACGUCGCGAAGGUGGAAGGUGGAGGGAGAGAGAGUGGUGGAUCCGGUGCCAGUGAUUGGAAGACUUUGCCCAUUGCCGACGAAAAUGCUAGAUGGUUUAUGCUUUAAUGAAGAAGACGAGAGGGUCAAGUUACCAGGGUUGCCGGUGACGUGCGAGGUGGCGCCGCUGUCGAUGAACCAGUUGGAGGAGGAGCCCGCAGGUGGCUGGUUGUUGGCGCUGUAGGCGGCGUGCAACAUGGCGAGGUGAUCCCAGGUGGGCUGAUGUACCGGCGGUGAAGGAGCGGCCGGCAUGUGGUGAGCGUGGUAGGCCUGGGCAUGGGAGCCCGGAGCAGGACCAAGGACGCCGGCGGAGUUGGGAGGAACCCAGCCGGGGCGAGGUGGGGGAAUCGCCAUGCCGUAUGGGGCAAAGAACCCCAUGUAGGGGUUGUAUGGCAUAGAUAGUUGGGGGCCACGGCCGGAGGAGUCAGCACGUCCGCGACCACGGCCACGACCCCGUCCACGGCCGCGAUCACCGCCGUCCUGGCCACGACCACGACCAGUGGGUUGCGGAGGGCCGCGAUCGGUGGAGCCGGAGGACCGAUCACCAGAGCGCGGGGUGGAGGAGCCGGGGAAGUUGUUGUUGGUGACGGCGAGGAUAGUGGCGCGCUCGUCGGCCUCCCGUUGGAAGAGGUUCUCCUCGGCGAGCUUGAGACGGGAGAACACGGUCUCAAACGGGGGUAGAGGGACUAUGUCCCCGAGGACGACGCGGAUGGUGUCAAGCCGUUUGUCGAUGCCGUGGAGGAACUAAGUGGUGAGAUCCACCUCAGUGACCGGGUAGUCGAUGUCGGCGAGGCCGGCGGUGAGGAGCUUCAUGCGACGGGCAUAUUCGGCGACAGAGAGAUCGCCCUGUUUGAGAUUCCGGUACUGCCGAUUCAGGGUCAUGUAGCGGCGGCACGAUUGGCGAGGAAAUAGUCCCGGAUGCGCCCCCAAAGAUCAAAGGUAGUGGUGGCACCCACGACGUGAUCGAUGAGGGGAUCGGCCAGAGAGGAGUAGAUCCAAAGGACGAGGUGAGCAUCGAGUUCGCGGAGGUGGGCAUCGGUGUUGGGUGGUAGAGGUUGUUCGAUGAACUGGGAGACGCCGUAGCGGAGAAGAACGAGAAGGAAGAAGGACUUCCACUUGUGGUAGUUGUGAUCGUCGGGGUUCAGCUGGAAUUUGAUGUGGUUUUGGAUGCUGUCGUGGAAGAUCGGGUGGCGGGCGUGGGGAAUGGCGGGUGGAGGGGGUGGUGGGGCAGCGGAAGGGGGAACGGUGGUGGAGAAGAGAGGUGCAAAUGUAGAUGGGGGAGAAGGUGUACCGAAAACAAAGGGGAAAGAGGCGACGGUGGCGGCAGUGGCGGCAGGGCUAGAAGCCGCUGUGGUGUCGACGACCGUCGUCGGGGAAGAGGAGGUUUGGCCGGAGCCGGUGGCCGGCGCGGAGUGGAGGUCGGAGGAGGUCAUAGGAGGUGGGGGUGUGUGAUACCAAGUAAGAGAAUAUAUUCCUUCCAAUGAUCAACAUGUACAAUGGUGUUACAUAUAUAUAGCAGAGGUGGAGGAGAGCCUGUCCAGAUCCUACAUACAAAGACGGCUUAGACUAAGUGCUAUGACUAGGUAAAGGGUAACGUUAACAAAUACUAGUACAAGUACAAAUACGAAUUAUAAAGUGCAGUCGUAGUGCAUGAGUUGGUGGCCGAUUAGUUCUGAAGGUUCAUACCCGCGAUGACGCAAAGUUUGGCUCCCUCUGAGAUGAUGUCGAGAAGAAUGGGCGGCGGAGCAUACUUGUGUCGGAACACUGUAAUAUUUCUUUCGUUUCAAAUAAUCCAAGACACAAGGGAUGCUGACAUGAUGUCUACCCUGCUCGGUCGACUUAUCAACGGCAGUUUCUGGGCUCUUCUCCGCUUCCAAUUUCCAUAAGCUAUGGAAGGUGGAGGGCAAAAUGCCGCUUCUUGAUGUAGUUUGUGGUCGCGAGGUCAUGUCCUCACCAAUGACAAUAUUCAGAUGAGAGGGAUCCCGCAUGCUGCAUGUUGCCGCCUGUGCGAUCAGGAAGAGAAGAUCCCCUUCAUCUGAUCUAGAGUUUUUUUCGAGGCAAAAGCUUGAUCAGACACAAGGUAUUGCAACCUUUUCCCUAAGCCUCGGAAUCAACGUUGGAGUAGUAUGGUUUCAUCUUCCACAUGCCUCUAACGUCGGGUGUAGCUUGAUGGCAAUGUGAUAACUAGAUUCCAAAUGCCUCCAAAGCCCAUAUAUCUAUCUAGAGAUUACAAUGAGAUGAGCAAGCAGUGACCCAAUCAUUUCACCACCCCCGUUCUAUUGGUUUGAUGAAGAUUUCUCACCACUCU
rnacentral:lncRNA from 1 species